rnacentral:lncRNA from 10 species
CUCUUUUUGGAGGAUGAAUGAGAGAUGGGCUAUAGAUGAGCCAUUGUGACUGAAGCCCAAACCUGUGUCUUCUGGAUAGUAUGUAAUGUGUGUGCAUCUGUAUAUGUUUGCAGAGAACAAUCUAUUCAAUGGAGAGAAUGAGGUGCAAACAGAAGUUUAUUUGGGAUUCUGGACGAGUGGAGAGGAGGAAUUACUUGUAUGGCUUUGCCCAUUUGAGGAUUC